rnacentral:rRNA from 1 species
CUGAGUGGCGCAGCCAACGCGAUAAGUCCACCGCCUGGGGAGUACGGCCGCAAGG